UUAUCAGACUUGUUGCAAGGUUGUUCUAACAAGUCUGAUACAGUCAUGAUAUAACAAGAAUGUUACAAGGUUGAUGACACAAGGUUGUAACAAUAUUGUUAUGUCAUGACUGUAUCGGACUUGUUGGAACAACCUUGCAACAAGACUGAUAA